GACGAACGCUGGCGGCGUGCUUAGCACAUGCAAGUCGAACGAAGAGCGAUUGCUGCUUGCUUCUAUCCAUCUUAGUGGCGAGUGAGUGAGUCACGCGUAAUCUACCUGCCCUUCUGAGGGGGCCACCAGUUGGUAACGACUGCUACUACUACAUACGCUCUCUUCUCGGCAUCGAUGAUAGAUUUACGGUGGCUUCUACUUGUCUCCUAUCAUUGCAGCUGGUGAUUGCGUUUGUUUAGUUAGUUGGCGGGGUAACGGCCCACCACGGCGAUGAUCAGUAGCCGGACUGAGAGGAGGAACGGCCACAUUGGGACGGAGACACGGCCCAGACGCCUAAGGGAGGCAGCAGUGGGGAAUCGUACGCAAUGGACGAAAGUCUGACGGAGCAAGGCCGCGUGAGUGAUGACGGCCUUCGGGGUGUAAAGCUCUGUUAAUCGGGACGAAAGGCCUUCGUGCGAAUAGUGAGAAGGAUUGACGGUACCGGAAUAGAAAGCCACGGCAAACUACGG
rnacentral:rRNA from 1 species